rnacentral:snoRNA from 1 species
UCAAUGUGGAUAUCUUAGGUUACUCUCCCCAGGAUCUGUUCAAGUGGCUGAGGGGAGAACAGGGCUAUGCCCCAGAAUAUACACUCUCUUUCCACAACAUCGAGAUAAAGCUGAGCCUCAUGUCUGCGCCUGCAUAUUCCUACAACUUCUCAGAGUACUAUGGUCAAUGACUAGGGAGACAAAUAAUGCAGGAAACUUAU